rnacentral:misc_RNA from 1 species
GAAAUGCGAUAAGUAGUGUGGAUUGCAGAAUUCAGUGAAUCAUCGAAUCUUUGAACGCACAUUGCGCCCCUUGGUAUUCCAUGGGGCAUGCCUGUUCGAGCGUCAUCUACACCCUCAAGCUCUGCUUGGUGUUGGGCGUCUGUCCCGCCCCCGCGCGUGGACUCGCCCCAAAUCCAUUGGCAGCGUUCCUUGCCCCCUCUCGCGCAGCACAUUGCGCUUCUCGAGGGCGGCUCCGGGACGCGAUCCAGCAAGAUGACCACCGUCUUUGACCUCGGAUCAGGUAGGGAUACCCGCUGAACUUAAGC